rnacentral:tRNA from 1 species
GGGGAUGUGACUCAGUGGUAAAGGAAUGUUUGCCGGCAUGUAUGAAGCCCUGGGUUCAAUCCCCAGCACCACCA